GCCUAUAGAUGCACAUGAGUUGUUCUCUGGGCCUGCCGGGUAGGCGGAGUUCUACCUUCAGACACAUGAAAUGGUUAAACAUGGGAACACUUUGCCUUCCCGGUGCUAGGGCAACAGCGCAAAACAAAAAAUAGGAACGCAAGGCUUUAUCGUUGGGUUUUUUACAGAAAUGUUUGGUGAUCGACUAGGAAUGCCUUGGAGAUCGACUGUUUGGUGACCACUGAUUUAGUAUAUGUUACGUUUCAUAUGGAUUCUGAUUCCAGCCUAUAAUUGAGGAUUCUAGGAAGGAAUACUUUCCCCUCAAUUAAUUACUGGGCAUCUGGUGAAUUUAAACUAGUAAAAGAUGGAUUUUCAAGUGCAUGGAGCAAAAACAUAUAUCAUAGUUUUUGUGCUUCUCUACUCUUGUUAUUACAAGAGCAGGUUUGUAGUUAAUCUUUUCAAAAUAGAGUAACAGAUUAUUUUAGGGCCUUGAAGUGUGUUUCGGAAUUAGGUUUUCCCACAUUUUAAUACAUGUCGGUCUCAGAGCAUCAAUGUCACAAGUAUUUAUCGUCAAAAGCAAGAAAUAUGAACACUGGUGAUGUGAGCUUGUAGAUACUGAUAUUCUUUGCUGCAGUCAGCAUGUGUUCUUGGAGCUAUUAUCACUGAACAAGCUGAUCUGAUACUGUAUUUCUACUACAGUAAUAUGAGGCGAUCUGUAGACUAGCCAUAAAGAAUACCAUCAUAUCCUGCUAUACAGGACAUCGCAUUUGACAUCGAUGAAACAGUUACACUUAUAAUAACUCUGAAGAAUAAGCAUUCAUAACCUAUUUAUUAAAGUAUUUCAUUAUGUUAAAAAAUUUAAAAGCAUUUAUAUUAAUUUAUUAUGCAUUUAUAACGUAUUAUUCAUGUAAGAUAUUAUAAAGUGAAUACACGCACUUCCACAUUGUCUUCUGUUGACGAGUAUUUACAUAAAGCAGAAUCAACAAUUCUGUCUGUACCACAGCUUUCAAAUUAUAACGUGGAGGAGAAAGGUUUAAAACACCCACUACACAGUCUUCCACUCCACAAUAAGAAGCAAGUGACCCUAGAUAGAUAAUCAAUAGGUAGAAUAGGGUGUCGAAUAGGGAUUAUAUUUCAAUCUUAUUCUAUUUUCCAGUGUGGACAAUAAAUAUGAAAAAGGUAGCUAUGUGAGGGAGGGAAAAGACAG